UACGGGGGCCGAAGGCGAACUCUCUGGUCUGUACUGACGCUGAGGAGCGAAAGCGUGGGGAGCGAACAGGAUUAGAAACCCUGGUAGUCCACGCCGUAAACGAUGAGUGCUAAGUGUUAGGGGGUUUCCGCCCCUUAGUGCUGCAGCUAACGCAUUAAGCACUCCGCCUGGGGAGUACGGUCGCAAGACUGAAACUCAAAGGAAUUGACGGGGGCCCGCACAAGCGGUGGAGCAUGUGGUUUAAUUCGAAGCAACGCGAAGAACCUUACCAGGUCUUGACAUCCUCUGACAAUCCUAGAGAUAGGACGUCCCCUUCGGGGGCAGAGUGACAGGUGGUGCAUGGUUGUCGUCAGCUCGUGUCGUGAGAUGUUGGGUUAAGUCCCGCAACGAGCGCAACCCUUGAUCUUAGUUGCCAGCAUUCAGUUGGGCACUCUAAGGUGACUGCCGGUGACAAACCGGAGGAAGGUGGGGAUGACGUCAAAUCAUCAUGCCCCUUAUGACCUGGGCUACACACGUGCU
rnacentral:rRNA from 1 species